GAAGUACAUGUAUAUCAUUCAUCGGAACUCCCGGCAAAAGGCUUGCAAAGGUGAUUUCCCUUUC
rnacentral:ncRNA from 1 species